rnacentral:rRNA from 1 species
CCCUUAGAUGUUCUGGGCUGCACGCGCGCUACACUGAAGCUAUCAACACGUUUUCCCUCCCUGAGAAGGGCGGGUAACCUUCUGAAUCAGCUUCGUGGUAGGGAUCGGGGCUUGCAAUUGUUCCCCGUGAACCAGGAAUUCCUAGUAGACGCGAGUCAUAAGCUCACAUCGAUUAAGUCCCUGCCCUUUGUACACACCGCCCGUCGCUACUACCGAUUGAACGUUUUAGUGAGGCAUUUGGACCGACGCAUCUCAGUUUAACCGCUGGUUUGUGUUGGAAAGACUUCCAAACUUGAGCGUUUAGAGGAAGUAAAAGUCGUAACA